GUGUGCACACCAGGCGCACAUACAUUAAAACUGGAACAACACAGAAGAUUAGCCUGGCCCUGAACAAGAUGGCAUGCCAAUCCGUGACAUGCUGCAUAUCCUC
ensembl:snRNA Gm23167 predicted gene, 23167